UUAAUUGAAACCAAAAUAGAGGUUUAUCACUGUUAAUGAUAAAAAUGAAAUAAACUUUCCAAUUAAA
rnacentral:tRNA from 1 species